rnacentral:rRNA from 1 species
GUCUUAUAGAUUUUAAUUUUAAGUCUGGCCUGCCCAAUGAUUUUAUUUAAUGGCUGCAGUAUUUUAACUGUACAAAGGUAGCAUAAUCAAUUGUCUUUUAAUUGAAGGCUUGAAUGAAUGGUCGGAUGAAAUAAAUACUUUCUUUUUAUAAUUUAUUUGAAUUUAAUUUUUUAGUUAAAAAGCUAAAAUUUUUUUAUAGGACGAGAAGACCCUAUAGAAUUUUAUUUAAAAUUUGUUAUUUGGGAUUUUUGUUUUUAAAUUUCAUUAGUAUUUUUUUGAAUUUGGUUGGGGUGACUUUAAAAUUUUUUAAACUUUUAUUUUUUUAUUUCAAUAAUUUUUGAUUUUUUGAUCCAUUUUUUAUGAUUAUUAGUUUAAAUUACCUUAGGGAUAACAGCGUAAUUUCUUUGGAGAGUUCAUAUCGAUAAAGAAGGUUGCGA